rnacentral:misc_RNA from 1 species
GUAGGUGAACCUGCGGAAGGAUCAUUAACACGUAUCCAACGUUAAAGAACCCUGUGAACUUUCAGACGCUCUUGUAGCCCAAGCGGAACAGCAAUCCCGGUAAAUCAAUGGCGGAAAGAGUUUGAUUCGGGACCUCUGUCCAUCAGGUUACAAUCGUAGCUAGGAGCAGUGGCAUGGUUUCCUGAAGCGUGCCGAAGGAUGCACUGAGUACGGAUAACGCAUCACGGUUGCUAGAGGUCGAUCACCGGCCGGCAGACAUGUCACAGGGCUACAUGCCCCUUAAUCACCCCUUGCCUAAUCACGCCCCGCGGAAACGCCGGACAAUGGAUAUCUUGGUUCUC